rnacentral:rRNA from 1 species
GUGCCAGCCGCCGCGGUAAUACGUAGGACCCGAGCGUUGUCCGGAUUUACUGGGUGUAAAGGGCGUGUAGGUGGGCGCCUAAGUCGAUGGUGAAAUCCUGCGGCUCAACCGUAGAAUUGCCGUCGAUACUGGGCGUCUUGAGUACGGCAGAGGGAGAUGGAAUUCAUGGUGUAGCGGUGAAAUGUGUAGAUAUCAUGAAGAACACCGGUAGCGAAGGCGGUCUCCUGGUCCGUUACUGACACUGAGGCGCGAAAGCGUGGGGAGCAAACAGGAUUAGAAACCCCCGUAGUCC